CGCGAAACCUCUGCAAUAGGCGAAAGCUUGACAGGGUUACUUUGAGUGAUUCCCGCUAAGGGGAUCUUUUGGCACCUCUAAAAAUGGUGUAGAAUAAGGGGUGGGCAAGUCUGGUGUCAGCCGCCGCGGUAAUACCAGCACCCCGAGUGGUCGGGACGAUUAUUGGGCCUAAAGCAUCCGUAGCCGGUACUGCAAGUCUUCCGUUAAAUCCACCUGCUCAACAGUUGGGCUGCGGAGGAUACUACAGCGCUAGGAGGCGGGAGAGGCAAGCGGUACUCAUUGGGUAGGGGUAAAAUCCACUGAUCCAUUGAAGACCACCAGUGGCGAAGGCGGCUUGCCAGAACGCGCUCGACGGUGAGGGAUGAAAGCUGGGGGAGCAAACCGGAUUAGAUACCCGGGUAGUCCCAGCUGUAAACGAUGCAGACUCGGUGAUGGGCUGGCCUUGUGCCAACCCAGUGCCGCAGGGAAGCCGUUAAGUCUGCCGCCUGGGGAGUACGGUCGCAAGACUGAAACUUAA
rnacentral:rRNA from 1 species